rnacentral:rRNA from 1 species
UACAGAGGUCUCAAGCGUUGUUCGGAUUCAUUGGGCGUAAAGGGUGUGUAGGUGGCGCGCUAAGUCGGGUGUGAAAUUUCGGAGCUUAACUCCGAAACUGCAUUCGAUACUGGCGUGCUUGAGGACUGGAGAGGAGACUGGAAUUCAUGGUGUAGCAGUGAAAUGCGUAGAGAUCAUGAGGAAGACCAGUGGCGAAGGCGGUCUGCUGGGCAGUUUCUGACACUGAUGCGCGACAGCGUGGGGAGCAAACAGG